rnacentral:rRNA from 1 species
CAUAGCCACGGUAAUACGUAGGGUGCAAGCGUUAAUCGGAAUUACUGGGCGUAAAGCGUGCGCAGGCGGUUAUAUAAGACAGAUGUGAAAUCCCCGGGCUCAACCUGGGAACUGCAUUUGUGACUGUAUAGCUAGAGUACGGCAGAGGGGGAUGGAAUUCCGCGUGUAGCAGUGAAAUGCGUAGAUAUGCGGAGGAACACCGAUGGCGAAGGCAAUCCCCUGGGCCUGUACUGACGCUCAUGCACGAAAGCGUGGGGAGCAAACAGGAUUAGAUACCCGUGUAGUCCCUGUCUCUUAUACA